rnacentral:rRNA from 1 species
UACGAAGGGGGCUAGCGUUGCUCGGAAUUACUGGGCGUAAAGCGCACGUAGGCGGUCUUUUAAGUCAGGGGUGAAAUCCCGAGGCUCAACCUCGGAACUGCCUUUGAUACUGGGGAUCUCGAGUCCGGGAGAGGUGAGUGGAACUGCGAGUGUAGAGGUGAAAUUCGUAGAUAUUCGCAAGAACACCAGUGGCGAAGGCGGCUCACUGGCCCGGAACUGACGCUGAGGUGCGAAAGCGUGGGGAGCGAACAGG